rnacentral:rRNA from 1 species
CCUACGGGAGGCUGCAGUGGGGAAUAUUGCACAAUGGGCGCAAGCCUGAUGCAGCCAUGCCGCGUGUGUGAAGAAGGCCUUCGGGUUGUAAAGCACUUUCAGCGGGGAGGAAGGCGUUAAGGUUAAUAACCUUGUCGAUUAACGUUACCCGCAGAAGAAGCACCGGCUAACUCCGUGCCAGCAGCCGCGGUAAUACGGAGGGUGCAAGCGUUAAUCGGAAUUACUGGGCGUAAAGCGCACGCAGGCGGUCUGCCAAGUCGGAUGUGAAAUCCCCGGGCUCAACCUGGGAACUGCAUUCGAAACUGGCAGGCUAGAGUCUUGUAGAGGGGGGUAGAAUUCCAGGUGUAGCGGUGAAAUGCGUAGAGAUCUGGAGGAAUACCGGUGGCGAAGGCGGCCCCCUGGACAAAGACUGACGCUCAGGUGCGAAAGCGUGGGGAGCAAACAGGAUGAAUACCCGGGUAGUC